GUAACACCUAGUCAACCUGCCCUGGAGACAUGGACAACCCCGGGAAACUGGGAUUAAUCCGUGAUAGGUCAUCCCAUCUGGAAGGAGGGAUGGCUUAAAGGGGUGCGCGGGCUUCUUCCGUGCAUCCGCUCCAGGAUGGGACUGCGUCCGAUCAGGCUGUUGGCGGGGUAAUGGCCCACCAAACCUGGAACCGGUACGGGCCUUGAGAGAGGUGGCCCGGAGAUGGACACUGAGAGAAGGGUCCAGGUCCUACGGGGCGCAGCAGGCGCGAAACCUUCGCAAUGCGCGAAAGCGUGACGAGGUUAAUCCGAGUGGUCCCCGCUGAGGGGACCUUUUGUCAGCUGUGGAUAGGCGGGCAAAUAAGGGCAGGGCAAGCCUGGCGCCAGCCGCCAAGACAAUACCAGCUCCUCGAGUGGCCGGGGCUAUUAUUGGGCCUAAACGCAUCCGUAUCGGGUUCCGUAAGUCCUCUGUUAAAUCCCAAGGCUCAGGUGUUAACCUGCAGACCAUCCCACAGAGACU
rnacentral:rRNA from 1 species